rnacentral:SRP_RNA from 1 species
AGCUGGGUCCCGCGCAAUAGAUGUUCCUAAACCCCGUCAGGUCCGGAAGGAAGCAGCGGUAGGGAGCCGCUCUAUGUGCCGCGGAUCAACCUGGCUAUC